CUACCAUGCAGUCGCACGAGAAAGGGCUUCGGCCCCGGUACAGUGGCGCACGGGUGAGUAACACGUGGGUAAUCUGCCUUCGAGUGGGGGAUAACAUUCCGAAAGGAGUGCUAAUACCGCGUAAGACCACGCCCUCGAAAGAGGAAGCGGUCAAAGCUGGCCUCUAUACAUAAGCUAGCGCUUGAGAAUGAGCCCGCGGAGCAUCAGCUAGUUGGUGAGGUAAUGGCUCACCAAGGCUUAGACGCUUAGCUGGCCUGAGAGGAUGAUCAGCCACGCUGGAACUGAGACACGGUCCAGACUCCUACGGGAGGCAGCAGUGGGGAAUCUUGCGCAAUGGGCGAAAGCCUGACGCAGCGACGCCGCGUGAGUGAUGAAGGCCUUCGGGUUGUAAAGCUCUGUGGGGAGAGAAGAAUAAGUGCGGGCUAAUACUCCGCAUGAUGACGGUAUCUCCUUAGCAAGCACCGGCUAACUCUGUGCCAGCAGCCGCGGUAAGACAGAGGGUGCAAACGUUGUUCGGAAUUACUGGGCGUAAAGCGAGUGUAGGCGGUUUGGUAAGUCGGAUGUGAAAGCCCCGGGCUCAACCCGGGAAGUGCACUCGAUACUGCCAAGCUAGAGUAUCGGAGAGGUUGGUGGAAUUCUCGGUGUAGAGGUGAAAUUCGUAGAUAUCGAGAGGAACACCGGUGGCGAAGGCGGCCAACUGGACGAAUACUGACGCUGAGACUCGAAAGCGUGGGGAGCAAACAGGAUUAGAUACCCUGGUAGUCCACGCUGUAAACGAUGGGUGCUAGGUGUCGCGGGCUUUGACUCUGCG
rnacentral:rRNA from 1 species